rnacentral:misc_RNA from 1 species
GAGACCGGGUCCGAAAAGGCCCGACCUCCAACCCUCUGUGUACAUACCACGUUGCUUUGGCGGGCCCGCGGGCCUUGUGCCCGCGGCCGGCUUACGCUGGUCAGCGCCCGCCAGAGGACCUCAAAACCCUGCUUUUCAGUGUUGUCUGAGUUACAAACUUAAUGAACUAAAACUUUCAACAACGGAUCUCUUGGUUCU